UAUUAGGUUGGUGCAAAAGUAAUUGAGGUCUUUGUCAUUACUUUCAAUGACAAAGACCUCAAUUACUUUUGCAUCAACCUAAUA
rnacentral:pre_miRNA from 1 species